AUGGAAGAGAUUAGAGCCUUGAUCAAGUCUUCUUCCCCUUCAUCAUCUUCAAGGCGGCGACAUUCAAGCCACAAGUCUUCGGAGCACGGCCUCGACGCAAGUGCAAAUCAUCCUCGUCCACAUCUACAUGGCGACCACCAUCACGCUCGUGAUCAACAUCGUCAUGAAGGGCAAGUCACCUCCAAGCAUCAUGUGCACGACGACGAUGAACGACAUCUACUACGAGCUCAAGCACGACAACGACAUAGUCAUCAUGAAUAUGCUCCACAAGCGCAAGCGCACAAGUCCCAACAAGCCCUACUUCACGCCAAGUCGAAGCUUCAUAAGCACAAGAGAAGACCACGAGACGAGCACCACCAAGACGGCGCUACGGCUACACCAACCACUUUGGCAUCUUCACCAAGUGGUAUCGAGGCAUCUUCGCCUUUGGACGUACGACAUCUUCGCCUACUUCCCACGAGUACGCCUACAACGACUUCAUCAAGUCCAAGGCGACCACCUAUUAGCGAGGGUAAUGAGGACAUCAAUACCAUUGUUACACCCACAGCCCCUACUGCUACAUAUACGGGACCAAUUACUAGAGCUCGCGCACGCCAAUUAAAUUAUCAGGUACUUCCGUUUCUUGGUAAUGAUUCUAAUGUUCAUGAGAAUAUGAUGCUGCCUAAAUUGGAUACAUUUGUUUUGCUUACAAAUGAAGGGCCUAGCUUGGAGAAGGAUGAACAUUGGAGCAAGAACAAGCAUGGAGAUGAUGCCAUGCGCAAGGGGAACAAGAACGGAGUUACAAGUGAUGAUUUCAGGACUUUGAAGCCACCAUAA
rnacentral:rRNA from 1 species